UACGGAGGGGGCUAGCGUUGUUCGGAAUUACUGGGCGUAAAGCGCACGUAGGCGGCUUUGUAAGUUAGAGGUGAAAGCCUGGAGCUCAACUCCAGAAUUGCCUUUAAGACUGCAUCGCUUGAGUCCGGAAGAGGCGAGUGGAAUUCCGGGUGUAGAGGUGAAAUUCGUAGAUAUUCGGAAGAACACCAGUGGCGAAGGCGGCUCGCUGGACCGGUAUUGACGCUGAGGUGCGAAAGCGUGGGGAGCAAACAGG
rnacentral:rRNA from 1 species